CGGUUGAAAACCUCUCUGGAAAUUGAGAACACCUUGGAGGGUGUUGUAAUAAUACCAACAUCCUUGAUAUUUACAAAUCUUAGACCACCCACGAUGGGGGAUGAUGAUGAAUCCUUAGCGCUAAAUCUUAAGGUAGUUUUAAUUAAAUAUGAUUAAUUUUUGUAAUAGAGCUAAGGAUUGGUCCGUCGGGAAGGGAUUUAAGGAUUGAGUCCGUGAGGACGUGGCAAGGCGUGAGUGGUCCGUCCGGCUGGGGUUGUGUUUAGCGUGUGGAAAAAAAAUUCACAAUCUUUAUGACCAAAAAAAAAUUGAGAGCAACUCUUCUAAGGCGACGAAGAAGACGAAGAGGAAGGAGAUCUUAGGGUCCCCUCCAGAUGACUACACCAAUCACCAUCGGAAAAUAAGCUUCGGCGGAGUAAUUCUCUCGCUAAUGGAGCCUGCUCAGAUCGAAUCUGAUUUGAUAUCCUCGUCUGAGACGGCGCGUUUGAUUUCUUUGACGAGACCCGGAUCAGGCAUGCGUCGCACGCCGGAAGGAUGGCUUUCUGGACAUUGAUAAAAGGUCUGCUGCUCUUUGCAAAUGCGUUUGUUUCAUCCACCGUGUCUACUCCUCAGACCUCGAGCUUGCAGGAGCUGAAGCAAAGUGUGUUAUUUGCUUGUCUGAAUUCGACAAGGUGAUAGUAAAUUGCAGGCUUUUUUCAUGUUUCUUGAUGUCUCAAGCUAAGCCCGUUCAAUAAUGAUGUUUUGUAGUAAUGUAUCAAUCGUUAUGUUCGUUGAUGUUUCGAACGGGCUUAGCUUUGCUUCGUAAUGAAAGGAGGAUUCUCACAAUCUCCUUCUAGCUCUACUCCUCCUCCUUCAUCCAGAUUCAAAUCCAACCCUCAAGGAGGAGGUGAUUCAGAGUAUGAUGAAGAGGAGAGCACAAAGAAGUUUGCGAGGAAAGUAGCUGAUCAUUAUAGUCACCAAACUCUGGAAGAGAGCGAAGCUAGUCCCAUCAUUCAUCUGAAGAAACUCAACAAUUGGGUUUGAUCACUCAUUCACUCUUUAUCAUCUCUUAGACAUUGUUAUUUCAGUUUUUUUUUUUUAAAAAAAAAUUAUUCUAAGGA